GGCAGAAUCGGUUAGUCAGGUCUAUGCCGGAGGUCUUAAGAACCUCUCCUCUUACGAGGUCGUGGGUUCGAAUCCCACUUCUGCCA
rnacentral:tRNA from 2 species